UGUCAUACUGUCUUUGUUCUACAGAUGAGACAGAGUUGGUUGCAGAGGAACGUUUCCCGUUGGUGACCCUUCUCCAAAGAACAUCUAUACAUGGUCUUGCUAAGACUCCUAGGAUAAAGGCUAUCAGAAAUGUGAUGAAAAUAGACAGACACACAGCCAGAGCCAAGUUAGACUGGUUAGCUCUCUGAUUCCUUUCUUGACCUAUCCUAUUUAGGGUGUCUUGUGGGAUUAUUUGUUGGCUGGUUCUGGGUAAACUUCUAGUUUUUCUUCUUGCACCUCCUAUUUGACUGAUCUGGAGGUUAAAAACAGACACAACUUCGUGAUCUUCAGACACACACACAUAUAGUCCUGUGUCUCUCUCUGUGACGUCACUGAUGAGCAGACCAGCCUGAGGCUGGCUCACAGAUGCUUGACCACUGGGUGUCCACCACACCGAAUCUACAAAAAAAAAGAAGACAACAUUAGCAUGCAGUUGGACUGACCUACAUUGUUAUAUAUGCAUUAAGUGACUUGACAAUUUUUUGACUGUGUUACCUAGUGUAGAGCAAGACAGCAGUAUCUCAGAGCCACUAUAGACCGUCACAUCUUGGUGGAUCUCUGGCCUGUAUUCGGUACUGAAACAGUUAAGGUCAUUGUCCUCCAACUGUAGCAGGUCUCUGCCAGAGAGGAUGGAGGGGGAGGCACACACCACGCUCCAGGCCUGCAGGCCUCUGCUGCUGUCAUAGGCCAUCCGCCUUUUUACACUGUGCAUGCUGCAAUCACACUGCCACCUGUUCCCAACCAGCCUAACAUCAGCCCCAAUGUUACGCAGAGAAAGGUACAUCAAAGGAUGGAGGCUGGUCAACAUGUUAAAGCUCAGAUCAAUAACCUUUGAGGGGAACACAAUAAGGACAUACAGCAGAUAUGUAAGAGACAUGCAAUUUGAUUGCAAAAACAAUUAAAUUCAGUAUUUGCUAAUAAAAAAAAAUUAAAAGCUUUUUUAAAUAAUCUUUUAAUUAACUUUUUCUGGAAAUGAACAAAGAAUGUGUGGCAUCACUGAGUUUAUUUUUAGAAUGCUGGAUAUUCUGUGCAUGUUUUCAAUAAGUUUGAUCAGUGUUACCCGGAGCUGGGCUAAAUCCUGGAACAUCUGUGGAUGGAGACUUGUGAUGAGGUUAUGUUGUAGGUGUAGCUCUUUUAGCUGUCGAAGGUGGGCAAGGUCUGCUGGUUUUAGUGUUGAGAUCUUGUUGAAGGAGAGCUGCAGAACCUGUAAGGACUCACUACCUUCCAGCCCUGCAUGACAGAAAACCAGAGCUGUAAUUAGAACAAUAACCAUGGUGGCGCGGCUCCUGAAGGGAGCAAGGAAUGCACUGUUACAGGUUUUCAGUUGUCUUCUCAGUGAUGUAAGCUACUGCUGUACCUUCAUUGUGAUUUGAAAGGUGAAGUACUGUUUUCAGCUGACGUAUUUGUUUGCUGUACUGCAGUAUUUUCAAAGCUGAGAUUAAAUAAUGUAAACUACUGGCCUCUCUCUCUCUCUCUCCCUGUUUCUGGACUUCUAGAUAGUGAAUAGUGUAAAAUGUCAAAAUCAAUGAACACCCUUUCCCUGGAAUAUGAAUCCAAAUUCUGCUUCUGGCUUAUUUUCACUAUGAACACCCACACAAUAAUGACCAGAGACAAUCUCCCUGAGACUGCUGGGCUGAAGUAAGGCUCCAUGGGUCUGCGCUUCAUUAGAGAGGCACUGAAGGUUCCGUGAGCUGAAUACCAAACAGGAAAGAAGUGUAUGACUGUCAACACAGCUCUUCUUGCUAAAUGUCUUUUUAAAGGAACCAUGGUUGAAUGUAUUUCUUUGAAACAUACACAUAUGUUCAACCAAGCAGAAGGAAUUCUAUAAAAUAAUAUGGUGCAGGGGAAAAUGCUAAAGUUGUACUGCAUGUUUGCACCUUUCUCUGAGCCACUGGAAUGUCAAUAAAAACUGUGCUGGCU